GGAGGAGUGGAGAUGCCCACAGAAGGCAAUUCAGAAAUCAAGGCAUGGGCCCUCUGCUCCAUCUGUGUGGUCUGUGCUGUGUGGUGCAGAGAAUGGGGGCAUCCAGCAGCAGUGUGGAUUGAGUAGUGCUUCACAGAUGGUGGUGAUCUCUCCUGGGUGCUUUGCAGAAUGAAAAAUGCCCAUUACACAUGGAAAAGAGGCGUUGAAGAGGAAAAGCAAUAUCAAUUAGGAAGAGGCCAUGCACUGAUGUGCAAAGAGAGAAGAAAUUGAAGAGCAGCCAAGGAGAUGGCAGAAGGAUCGUGGCAGAGCUGUGCUCCAGGCGGACCAACGGGUAGAUCUGCGAGCAUGAAUCCCGCAGCGGCACCCACAGCUGAUGCAAAACGAAGCAGACAGCCACAAUAUUUGCAGGUGACAAUGGGAGCCCUUCCCCCUCCGCAUUUGGCAACGUGCUCUGGCAGGAAAGCCAAUCUGUUUGCAGUGACACAGACAUCCCGAAGCCCAUACACUGCAGCACCAAGGGAUUAAGCCCUUCACUCUUCAGUGCCGCCCUACUGAUCCCGGCUAAUGCAGUCCUAUGGAGCGUGGGUCAGAGGGUGCCCAUAGGACGUUAUGGAGCUGCUUAUUUCACUGAUAACAGCCACUGAUAACAGCUCAGCAGCCUCUUGUCGACACAGCGCCACUCUCUUCCACACUGCCUACAGGGGCGAUUUCCCUUCGAUCACCAAGUUAGACACGAUGCAUGUACACAUGAAAGAAUGCUAUCUGUACGCCUAUCCUCCUAAGCACCUGAGGGAGAAUCAAAGCAUAAAAGCAGAUUCUGCUUAUCGCAUUAAAAUGUGGGUCUAGGAGCCUUCCUUUACUGCUUCUUAAUGAUGGCUCUAGAGGUAUUUCUGACAGAUAAAUAUGCAGCACUUAACAAGUGCAGAUUACACGGUAAUAGAGAUAAUUACUCUUCCUGUAGCAUCUCAUUAAGGCAGAGGGGUCCACCGCAGCCCGGUUCCCAUCAGCACCGACAGGGCACCGC